rnacentral:rRNA from 1 species
UGUUCGGAAUUACUGGGCGUAAAGGGCGCGUAGGCGGCCUUCUAAGUCGAACGUGAAAUCCCUGGGCUCAACCCAGGAACUGCGUCCGAUACUGGAAGGCUUGAAUCCGGGAGAGGGAUGCGGAAUUCCAGGUGUAGCGGUGAAAUGCGUAGAUAUCGGGAGGAACACCGGUGGCGAAGGCGACCAUCUGGACGGAUACUGACGCUGAGACGCGAAAGCGUGGGUAGCAAACAGG